CCUACGGGUUGCACCAGUAGGGAAUCUUCCGCAAUGGACGAAAGUCUGACGGAGCAACGCCGCGUGAGUGAUGAAGGCUUUCGGGUCGUAAAACUCUGUUGUUAGGGAAGAACAAGUGCUAGUUGAAUAAGCUGGCACCUUGACGGUACCUAACCAGAAGGCCACGGCUAACUACGUGCCAGCAGCCGCGGUAAUACGUAGGUGGCAAGCGUUAUCCAGAAUUAUUGGGCGUAAAGCGCGCGCAGGUGGUUUCUUAAGUCUGAUGUGAAAGCCCACGGCUCAACCGUGGAGGGUCAUUGGAAACUGGGAGACUUGAGUGCAGAAGAGGAAAGUGGAAUUCCAUGUGUAGCGGUGAAAUGCGUAGAGAUAUGGAGGAGCACCAGUGGCGAAGGCGGCCCCCUGGACAAAGACUGACGCUCAGGUGCGAAAGCGUGGGGAGCAAACAGGAUUAGAUACCCGGGUAGUC
rnacentral:rRNA from 1 species